GUGACCUUACCAAAUAAGCCCCAGCCCCGGCGAGGCGUCCCCACUGUCUCCCUUGACCUAGGCUGUUAUGUCCCAUUCUACGGUCUCAGUCCCGGCUCCUUCCAUCUGCGGAUGACCAAACCUUACAGGAACCUACACAUGGAGGCUCUGAUGGGGGGAAGAGCCCAGAGCGUCUGGGACCAACAAGAAGACGGAACCUGCCUGGAGUAGCAGAGGAGGGAAGUGAGGUGGAGAGGAGGGGCAAGAACUAGAGCUCCUGGGUGUCCGAGGACUCGACGGACUCCGAGAGUCUGGCCACCACUCGGGUCAUGCAGAAGCUGGGAGCUGCUUACAGGUGUUCAAAGAGACUCAUGCUCGGGAAAUUAUAGCUGUGCACAAAAGCUGGAGAAACCAUAAAUGUUCAUCAAUAAUGGAAUCUGGCUGGACCGAUGUGCUAGUCCAGCCCUUACUAUUUGUCAGUGUUGCAACUGGAACAGAAUAACCAGCCCACAGAUAUUCUUCCUAAUAUCCCAUAUCCCAUAAGGGACGAAAGACUUCAAUAAAUGGAAUUAUGUCA